GAAAUAAUGUUAUUAAUAUGAAUUUCAUUUGGCAAGAAAGAAUUUUCAUGAACGCUGAAAAUUUUUAACAAAUUUUUGAUCACUUCAGAGAGGGCUGCUCUCAAAUGAGAGAGAUGCAGGUUUCUCCUUUCCUUAUCUGUAUUUAGAUACCUGUCCACUGAAAAACACCAUUGUGGAAUUGAAUCCAGCUUUCACUGUUUUCCUCUCAUCCAGAUUCUACAAUUCUUCACCAGUCAAGUACUACAUUGAGGGGAAUAAACAGUCAAGGCUUUGGGCCGAAACCCUACUUUGGGACUGGAAAGAAAGGGGCAGAAGCCAGAACAAGGCAGCGAGGGGAGGGGAAGGAGUACAUGCUGUCAGGUGAUAAGCGAGACUAUGUGAAGGGAAGAGGGGUGCAAGUUAAGAAGAUGCAUGGAUAGGUAGAAAAGAUAAAGAGCUAAAGAGGAACCAGAGCGAGGUGAUGGCCAGAUGAGAAGGGGUACAGGGUAACCAGAACAUGAAAUGGGAAAAGCGAGGAGGAUGGUAUUGCUGUUGUAGUCUGGUGGAUUGGCCUCUAUCUUACUGAGGCCAGAUGGUAAUUCUCAGACACCUCCACUUACUUCUUGUACAGGACCAUUGAGGAGCACCAGGCCAUUGUCCUGUGCACCAUCACCAACCUCUUGACUUUGGAGAUCUCCGAUCCACUGGCACCAACCUCAGUUCCCGUACUCUGCAGAAUUCAGCACCAUCAUUCCAAGAGUAUUAAUCAACAAGUUUCAAAAGCUGAGCCCUGUACCUUUCUCUGCAACUGGAUUAUUGACUUAUCAGGAGGACCACAGUGGCUGGAGUCUGUUUGGAAUCCGUGAUCUACAGCUGCACUUGAACUACAGUUGUUCACGGUGGUAGGCUCCCACUCUCACAGCUCACCGAGUGGCCUGGAAUACAUGCACCUUCAUUCAGGGUGUGGCUCUGCGGCCCAAUAUACAACCCAAUUCCUUGCCAGUGCAACCAACUGAAGCACCACGGAAGAUCGGAACACUGAAACAUCAAAACAGUGUCAGGGCCUCUGCACUUGAGUGAUCACGCUCUUUCAAAGGAGAAUCUGCUGCUGAUUCUCGAGUCAGGAAACUAAAUAAAAUGACACUGCAGACUGCAACAUUGAAGCAGCAAGUUGUUGGUCUUCCCUCUCACUGUGGCAGGGGUGAUACCCCUCUCUCCUUCAUUAGUGAGAGAGUGCCUGUGGGACGUUGAACUGUUGGGAUGAACUCCAGAUCAUGGUCUCUUUGGAGGCUUUGCCAUUGUUUGCACGGCAGGCAGUGGUGGGGCUGAUGCUUUCUGCUGGAACAGGUGGGGGAGGGUUGCUUGUGCGUGGGAGUUGAGAGGGAGGGCUUCGGGGUUCUACCAUUUUCCUGUCAUUCAAUCUUUGGGGUUUUCUUCUGUUUCGUGAAUGUGUGUGAAGAGUAAGAAUUUCAGGUUGUAUACACUCGCUGAUAUUAAAUGAAGCCAUUGAACACCUUACAGUGCAAGUGAUCUGGGUUCAAGUUCUGCUGCUGUCUCCAAGAAGUUUGUAUAUUCUCCGUUUUCUCCCACCUUCCAAAGACGUACAAAUUAGUAUGUUAAUUGGUCAAAGGUUAACUGGAUGGUGCAGGCUCUUUGGGCUGGCAAGGUCUGUUACUGUGACAUUAUCUCCCAAAACCGAUACUGAGAACACCAGUUGUAGAAUCCUUGAAAGCAAGUCUGUAGGUUGUAGAAUCAGGACAGAGUUUUGGUGAGUGAAAUGAUCCACGAUGGUUCAGGAGCCUAAUGAUUGUAGGAUAAUAACUGCUCCUGACACUGGUUGAAUGUGCCCUCACACUUCUGUACCUCUUGCCUGGUGGUAGUAGCAAAAAGAAAGCUGGCGGGGUAUUUUGGAUGUUAUCUUCCUGUGGCAGCAAUCCAUUAUGUAUUCAGUGCAGGAAGGGCUUUGUGUGUGACAGACAGGACAGUAUCCACCACUUUCUGUAGUCUUUCUUUCCUGGACAUUGGAGUCCCAGGAAACCAGGGUGUGAUACAAUCAGUCAAGAUACUCUCCACUGUUCAUCUAUACAAGUUUGUGACAGUUUCUGAAUCUACACAAACUUCUAAGUAGAGGGACUAUUGUGCCUUGCGAUGACAUUUACAUGCUGGUCUGGGACAGAUCCUCUGAUAUGUGAAUGUCAAGGAAUUUAAAGCCACUGACCCUCUCCCCCUAUGCGAACUGGCUCACAGACUUCCAGUUUCUUCCUUUUGUAGUUGAUAUCCAGCUCUUUGGUAAGGCUAUUGUUGUGGCACCACUGAACCAGAUUUCAAUCUCCUUCCUAUAUCCGUACCUCCUACUAGAUGCUCUAUCUCAGUCAACUUGGAGUCUUUGCAUCAUCCUGACAAUUCAGCAUAAAUUGAAAUGAAUUAGUUGGCUCCAUCAUCGUGAUCACUGAUUAUAUUACCAAUGACCAAGACCCAAGCACUGAACACUGCAGUACUCUAAUAGAUAUUGUCCAUUACACCAACCUUCAAAAGACACAUUCCUAUGGCAGCUUUCAUGCCAAUUUAUUAUCCCAAUACAAGUUUAAUAUUAAGGACUUGUGGCGACCCAUUUCCUGGCACAUCCGAACCAGCUCACAAUUAGAUAGCCUACGGGGGUUUGCGAGCACAGAGCUUUGGAGCCUCUGCGCCACGGGGGGCAGGUCGAGAGAGGCUUA